CAGCCACUGGUACUGUGUCUUCCCGAAGCCAGUGGAUCCGGCCCGGAGAAGUCCUCUCGCCACUCGGGGCUACUAUCUUCAGAGCUGAGACUUGGGGAGGAGGAAAGAUUUUGUGGGAAGCACAGCAAAGGAGUCUCUGAGAUGAGGGAGAAAAAGAACAGGUGGUGACUUCUUGGACAGUGACCUCAGGUGGUUGAGGCUGCUGUUCCUAGGUCUGUAAGGCUCCAAGGUAUCAGCUGACAGCUACCAGAACUUCUAGAAGCCUGUGAUGGGCACUUGGCCAGAAGUGACGGUAGUGUGAGAAGAUCUGGGUUCAAAUAGGCCAGGCUUGAAAAAAGAAAAAGAAAGAAGAAAUUAAGCAAAUAGGUCAGGCUUGGUCGUUUCCCUAGCAAGCCUGACACACCAUGUGCCUUUUUACUUUUUAACCCAGGCCCCUGUGAGUGGCUGGACCAAUUAGGAAAUGGGUUGUGUGGUUUAUCAGUUGUAUCUCUUAUGUGAAAGCGUUUCAAUCCAUAAUAAAGAAGGUAGAAUUUCUGCUCUCAA